CGAGUGUGUAAGCGCAGCGAUGCGUUGAGCUAACCGGUACUAAUGAACCGUGAGGCUUAACCUUACAACGCCAAAG
rnacentral:rRNA from 1 species